rnacentral:tRNA from 1 species
AAACUUAGGAUAACCUAUUAAACCAAGGGCCUUCAAAGCCCUAAACAGGGGCUAAACCCCCAUAGUUUCU